rnacentral:rRNA from 1 species
CAGCAAUGCCGCGUGAGUGAAGAAGGCCUUCGGGUUGUAAAGCUCUUUUGUCAGGGAAGAAACACCGGCUCUAACACAGUCCGGGAAUGACGGUACCUGAAGAAUAAGCACCGGCUAACUACGUGCCAGCAGCCGCGGUAAUACGUAGGGUGCGAGCGUUAAUCGGAAUUACUGGGCGUAAAGCGUGCGCAGGCGGUUAUACAAGACAGGCGUGAAAUCCCCGGGCUUAACCUGGGAAUGGCGCCUGUGACUGUAUAGCUAGAGUG